GCUUGGCCCUAAACCUCAAUAGUUAAAAUAACAAAACUAUUCGCCAGAAUACUACAAGCAACAGCUUAAAACUCGAAGGACUUGGCGGUGCUUCAUACCCCCUAGAGGAGCCUGUUCUAUAAUCGAUAAACCCCGAUCCACCCCACCCUCUCUUGCUUAGUCUAUAUACCGCCAUCUUCAGCAAACCCUGAUGAAGGCUACGAAGUGAGCGCAAAUGCCCUUCCCCGCAAAAACGUUAGGUCAAGGUGUAACCUAUGAGACGGUAGAAAUGGGCUACAUUUUCUACUUCAGAAAACUCCACGAUAGCCCCUAUGAAACCUAGGGGUCCAAGGAGGAUUUAGCAGUAAAUUAAGAAUAGAGUGCUUAAUUGAACUAGGCCAUAAAGCACGC
rnacentral:rRNA from 1 species